UUGGCCCGGUAAUAACUUAAUAAUGAGCCGAGAAUAAGGGUUAAAGUUCGGUAUCCAUAAUGGAGACUGAGAGGAAGAUAUUGUCGAAGUAUCCCCUCACUUGACUCAUCGUUAUGAUAUCUGACCAUAAUGAAAAAAAAAGACUUCGCACAUGCAGUCCAUGUUCUAGUUCUUGGUCUGCACUCUGCAAUCUACCAUGAGACUGUAGAAAUCCGAUGAUUGUUUCCUGGAUCUAACUUCAUAAAAGUAUUCCCAUUUGAACCUACAGCAGAACCUCAACAUCCAGCAUAACCUCAACCCUCGUCUGAACCUCCACCUCGAAAAGAACUCCUUCGAACUCCUUUUAGAACCCCUUCUGCUAAGAAGAGAAGAUACAAUAUAGACAAUCUUGACGGGUUGGCACCCUUGAUAGCUGUGCACAGGGUAAAUAACAAAGUAUGCGCUAGACUUACCUGUAAAUAUAACGAGUUUAUGGAGUUUGACAAGCAGUUUACAGUAAAGAAGGUGAGAGGAAUUGUGCAGCGAUCUAAAGAGAAUGCGUUAGAAUAGCCUUGGAAUCUGACAGUGGAGUCGCUCUACUUUGACAGGAAAAAGGAUAAAGGUACGUUAGCCUUGGAUCAACACAAGAUUAGACAGAAGGUUACUGAGGAACACACGACCCUUGUAGCGCAGCC